AUUGAACGCUGGCGGCAUGCCUUACACAUGCAAGUCGAACGGCAGCACGGUUCCUUGCACCUGGUGGCGAGUGGCGAACGUGUGUGUAAUACAUCUGAACUUGUCCUGUAGUGGGGGUUAGCCCGGCGAACUCCGGCUUAUUACCGCAUACGAUCUACGUAUGAAAGCUGGUUACCUUCUUUCCUCGCUCUAUAGUGUUGUCCGAUGGCUGAUUAGCUAGUUGGUGGUGUAAAGGCCUACCAAGGCGACGAUCAGUAGCUGGUCUGAGAGUACGACCAGCGACACUGAGACUGAGACACGGCACAGACUCCGACGGGAGGCAGAAGUGGGGAAGUUUGGAAAAUGGGCGAAAGCCUGAUCAAGGAAUGCAGCGUGUGUGAAGAAGGCCUUCGGGUUGUAAAGCACUUUUGUCCGGAAAGAAAUCCUUGGCCAUAAUACGGGCGGGGGAUGACGGUACCGGAAGAAUAAGCACCGGCUAACUACGUG
rnacentral:rRNA from 1 species